rnacentral:rRNA from 1 species
AUACGGAGGACGCGAGCGUUAUCCGGAUUCAUUGGGUUUAAAGGGUGCGCAGGCGGCCGUGCAAGUCAGCGGUGAAAGCCCGGGGCUCAACCCCGGAAGUGCCGUUGAUACUGCAUGGCUGGAAUGCGGUCGAGGCGGGCGGGACGUGGCGGGUAGCGGGGAAAAGCGUAGAUAUGCCACAGAACGCCGAUAGCGGGGGCAGCUCGCCAGGCCGGCAUGGACGCUCGGGCACGAAAGCGUGGGGAUCGAACAGGAUUAGAUACCCUGGUAGUCCACGCCGUAAACGAUGGGCGCUCGUCGUCGGCGGCAGACAGUCGGCGGCCAAGCGAAAGCGAUAAGCGCCCCACCUGGGGAGUACGGUCGCAAGGCUGAAACUCAAAUGAAUUGACGGGG